AUGUACAGGAACAACUACCGCAAUGGCGAGGCACUAGUUAAUCCUCUUCGCAUGGUGGGGAAAAUCAAGGCUUAUAUUGAAUUCAUUACUGAGUAUAAUGUCAGCCCAACAGGUUCCAACAGACGUGAGACCUUUCCAUCAACCUAAAAAUGGUCUCCGCCGCUGGAAGGUUGGGUGCUGAUCAAUGUAGACGCUGCGGUUUUCUCCCACUCAGGAUGGGCUGGCUAUGGGGUUGUAGUGUGAGACCAUCGAGGGACACUUUUGUCUGCAUACCGAGGCUCCUAUAUUGAUCAAAUUCAAAACCCAGAAGUGGUUGAAGCUAUUGUUGUUCGUCAAGCGCUCAUCAUUGCUGAAGAUGCUGGUUUUCAUAAGAUUCAGGUGGUCUCCGAUUGCUUGUCGCUGAUGAACAAGGUUCAGGAUAUGAGUUUCGGCAGGUCCCCUUCAGGUGCCAUAGUCCAGGAUAUUAAAAGUAGGGCCGCAAAGUUCUUAUCUUGUGAUUUUAUCCAUGUCAAAUGUUGUUGUAAUGAGGCGCAUGUACUGGGAAAAUCUGUAGAAUUUGAUGUUGGGUCCUGUUGGUCUAGUGAGCCACCUGACGAAAUCAGGGCCAUUAUUUGUAAUGGACAUGUUUCUAAGUGA
rnacentral:rRNA from 1 species